rnacentral:lncRNA from 1 species
ACGACUGGAAUCACACAUACACUGCCACAAGAGGUCUGCAGUGAAGGUCCCAAAGUCCCAGACAGAUCUUUCUGCUGAUGCAGCUGUUAAGAGUGUUUCAUAAACUGUGACAACACUAAGCAAAAUCAUAGAAGGAAACUCUAUGGACAAUUUCAGAUGGAGAAGAAGAAAGGACUGGAAGUUCAAUUUGGCCAUGACAAUUAGCUCCUAAGACUUGGAGUACUUUGUUACACAGCAGUAAAUAACUAAUACAGUGAUGUUUGAACAAAGACUUGAAGAAGCUGAGUGAGAAGGCCAUGCAGAUAUCUUGGAGAAGUGCAUUCCAGGCAGAGGAAAAGCCAGUGCAGAGACACUGAAGCAGGGCAUGACUGAUGUGUAUAAGGAGCAUCAUAUACAUGAUCAUCUACAGUCCACUGAGGAGAAUAGCAGACGAGAGGCCAGGUGCAGUGCAUGUAAUCCCAGCACUUUGGGAGACUGAGAUGGGAAGAUCGCUUGAGGCCAGGAGUGCAAGACCAGCCUGGGCAACACAGCAAGACCUUGAUUCUACUAAAAAAAAAAAAGGAUCCUUCAACUUCAACAAUAAUAACACAAGGGAAGUGAAGAAAAACACUUUCUAAGGAAAUCUCUCUCUGAGCUACCAUCCUGCUAGGGAGAGCCUGAAAGCAGAAUGCUGACUUGACUAGCUCUGGUCAAUGAAAGAAAUCACCAGUGGAAAGGCUACCAGGGGGCUUUCUCAAAAGAGAGGGACAGU